rnacentral:rRNA from 1 species
AUUGAACGCUGGCGGCAGGCUAACACAUGCAAGUCGAGCGGAAACGAGUUAUCUGAACCUUCGGGGAACGAUAAGGCGUCGAGCGGCGGACGGGUGAGUAAUGCCUAGGAAAUUGCCUGAUGUGGGGGAUAACCAUUGGAAACGAUGGCUAAUACCGCAUGAUGCCUACGGGCCAAAGAGGGGGACCUUCGGGCCUCUCGCGUCAGGAUAUGCCUAGGUGGGAUUAGCUAGUUGGUGAGGUAAGGGCUCACCAAGGCGACGAUCCCUAGCUGGUCUGAGAGGAUGAUCAGCCACACUGGAACUGAGACACGGUCCAGACUCCUACGGGAGGCAGCAGUGGGGAAUAUUGCACAAUGGGCGCAAGCCUGAUGCAGCCAUGCCGCGUGUAUGAAGAAGGCCUUCGGGUUGUAAAGUACUUUCAGUCGUGAGGAAGGCGGCGUCGUUAAUAGCGGCGUUGUUUGACGUUAGCGACAGAAGAAGCACCGGCUAACUCCGUGCCAGCAGCCGCGGUAAUACGGAGGGUGCGAGCGUUAAUCGGAAUUACUGGGCGUAAAGCGCAUGCAGGUGGUUUGUUAAGUCAGAUGUGAAAGCCCGGGGCUCAACCUCGGAAUAGCAUUUGAAACUGGCAGACUAGAGUACUGUAGAGGGGGGUAGAAUUUCAGGUGUAGCGGUGAAAUGCGUAGAGAUCUGAAGGAAUACCGGUGGCGAAGGCGGCCCCCUGGACAGAUACUGACACUCAGAUGCGAAAGCGUGGGGAGCAAACAGG